rnacentral:rRNA from 1 species
UACGUAGGGUGCGAGCGUUUGUCCGGAAUUAUUGGGCGUAAAGAGCUCGUAGGCGGUCUGUCGCGUCGGUCGUGAAAACUUGGGGCUUAACCCUGAGCUUGCGGUCGAUACGGGCAUGACUGGAGUUCGGUAGGGGAGACUGGAAUUCCUGGUGUAGCGGUGAAAUGCGCAGAUAUCAGGAGGAACACCGGUGGCGAAGGCGGUUCUCUGGGCCUUACCUGACGCUGGAGGAGCGAAAGCGUGGGGAGCGAACAGG